rnacentral:rRNA from 1 species
GAUGAACGCUGGCGGCGUGCCUAAUACAUGCAAGUCGAGCGAACGGACGAGAAGCUUGCUUCUCUGAUGUUAGCGGCGGACGGGUGAGUAACACGUGGAUAACCUACCUAUAAGACUGGGAUAACUUCGGGAAACCGGAGCUAAUACCGGAUAAUAUUUUGAACCGCAUGGUUCAAAAGUGAAAGACGGUCUUGCUGUCACUUAUAGAUGGAUCCGCGCUGCAUUAGCUAGUUGGUAAGGUAACGGCUUACCAAGGCAACGAUGCAUAGCCGACCUGAGAGGGUGAUCGGCCAGACUGGAACUGAGACACGGUCCAGACUCCUACGGGAGGCAGCAGUAGGGAAUCUUCCGCAAUGGGCGAAAGCCUGACGGAGCAACGCCGCGUGAGUGAUGAAGGUCUUCGGAUCGUAAAACUCUGUUAUUAGGGAAGAACAGAUGUGUAAGUAACUGUGCACAUCUUGACGGUACCUAAUCAGAAAGCCACGGCUAACUACGUG